AUACCUGGAAGUCAGAUUCCAGGCUCCUCUGUGGACGGCUUUGUCUUCGUUCCCUGGCACUUCCAACCCACCCUCUCUACCCAGGAACUAAGGCUGAGUGGUCUCCAGUGCCCUGAGAAAGCCCUGUGGAAGCACCAAGGAUGCUGGCACUGCCAGGAAGAGCGAGGGCUGAAGAGGAAACGGCUCAGACAGCUGUGGAGCUGGGACUCUCUCUCGUUGAGAUGCAUUAAUUUGACACUGACAAGAUGCAGGCAGGAAGCCCAGAAGAAGGACAGCCCCCAUCCUGAGAAUAAGAAUGCGGAAGUGGGAGAAGGCAGGGAGGUGGCGAUGAAGCCAGCGCUGGAAGCCCAAGGCUGCCGGGCUGUCCCGCUGUUCAUGGCUGAUGGAAAGCGAACCCAAGCGUCCGUGCCCUCAGCUGCCGCCCGCCUGCUUCCCCACAUCUGCGCUGCCUCCAGCUAAUGAAAGUGUUACUCCACGAAGCAGCAAGGUAUGUGUUGUCACUGUUUCAAUUAUUUAUCUGUUUACUCGGCUGCAGUUUUUCCGCUUGUCUCAGCAACUCUAUUAUAGACUGGGAGCUUGCAGCCUCUCGCAGCUCAGCUGGGCUCUGCGCUAACAGCCUGCAAUGGGGAGGCCUCAUGCCUGGGCCUAGAGAAGUGGAAUUAGCUCCCUGCGGCUCUGUGUGGUGGAGGCAGCGGGGAAAGGGGCAGGGAGGGGGCUGGCUAGGGACGGGUGACUCCAAGGGGCUGGGGUAGGGGGGAUGCUGAAAGCAGCUUCCCCAGGCAAAAAGGUGAGGAUUGGAGUGUGAAUCUGUCCCCCUGUCACCUGCCUGGGAGUACUGGCCCUAGACACAGCUGGGCUCCUCUGGACACAUAUGUACCCAAGCUGACUUGGACCACAUCUCUCUGACCUAGGUGGUGUUGCUACUGGUUUAGGAGAGACUCCGUGCAUCUGGCCAGCACUGGUUGAGCAACCAGCUGUGUGCAGACACAGGCUACGUCUGUGCCAGUCACUUUCCAUAGCCUGCAAGCUUUGUAAAGAGUAAGGUGGCCUCUGUGAGGACGGGGGAUGGUUAGAAUCAUGAGAAGGCCUUCGCAGGCUCUGGGACCCUGAGAGGAAGCGGCAGUGAGACUUCCCAGGGCACGGCUUCUCCUUACCCCUCCGUAAGCCCACACCCCUCCUAUCUCUGUCGGGACUUAGCGACAUGUACACGCGUCACUUUCUUCCCCUCUGAGGGCUUGGCGCUUUCUGACCAUGUGCAGAGGGGAGACAGAGGACCACUUCCUCCCACCUGGCUGCUUCUGCAGCACAGGCCCAGCUUCUGAAACGGGACCAUGAGAGUGGAGGAAGAUGAGGAGGACGGGGACAGGAGGAUUCUCCUCUCCUCUUGGGAUCCCUGCUGGCACUCACCCCAAGAAAGAUGCUCACCCCAACCAACCACACCUUGACUCUGCGUCCACUGUCAUCACCCAGAAGAAUGUCCCUGAGUUGACUGUGUCCAGCUUGGCAUGGGGUGGAGAAGAGAGUUGGCUGUACUUGGGAUCAGAGCUUCCAUCUCCCCACAUCCCAAUGUCCCAGCCUGGGGUAGAGGCCAAGACCCUCCAGGGGCUCCCCAUUCUCCAUGCACCCUCUUCCCAUCCCCGCCUCACCCAUUUGACUUUUUUACAGCCACCAAAGUACCUUUAAAGCAGGGCCUUUUCACUUGGGGGGUGAUUUUGCUCACCCUAACCACCAGGGGACAUACAGCAAGCUCAGGAGACAUUUUUGGUUGUCACAACUGGGGAGGAGAGGUGCGGUUUGGUAGGUACCAGUGUCUAGCUGAUAGAGGCUAGGAAGCUGCUGACCAUUCCACUAUGUCCAGGACAGCCCCUUGCCCCCCUCCCAAGAAUUAUCUGGCCCCCAAAUGUCAACAGUGCCCAGGUGGAGAAACCCAGUUUUAAGCCCAUCACAUUGUGUGGCUGUACCAGGUCCCUGGGAACAGAGCCGAAUAGACAAGAAUGUUCCCAUUUUGCAGGUAAAGAAACUGAGGCUUGGAGAGGCAAAAUGAUUCGGCUGAGGCCCCACACUAGGUUCCUGACAAGCGUCUGGCUUCUGGACCAGAGUUCACAUCCCAUCCCAUCAGGCUGGAAGAGACUGCGGGUGAACUGAAUGCCUCUCAACGUCCCUUUCCACCCCUGGUGGCCAGGCUCAUUAGGAGAAAGGAUGUCAGAAUCUCAGUGGAGGUGUGAGGAUUUUUCUCCCAAAGUCAUAAAGCGGAAGGCAUCCUGCCUGUUUAACUGGCAGCCCGUCUUCUGGCCUCACCUCCCUUCAGGUACUGCUUUUUUAUCUCCUCCUAAAAUGCGGCAGCCCUUAUCGUCCCAAUCUCAAAUUUCACUCCAUUUUUUUUAUUACACAAAAGAGAAAAAAAUCUGUCAGUAAAACUGUCUCCUCAAAUUUAUUCGCCGAGACUGAGGGUUUUAUUACGAGGAAAAUACACCCACACCCCACACAUCCACACACAUACCCACACACCCCAGAUAAAGCACUGAAGAAUUAUCCGAGUCGUAAAUCUCUGUUUCAGGCUGAGGGACAGGGGAGUUUCAAGGACGAGACUAGUUUUCCUUUGGUUUUAUUUACAUCUGUUUCUCUGGGGCUGUGUCAGGGCCUCACUGUCAGCCAG
rnacentral:lncRNA from 1 species